rnacentral:piRNA from 1 species
UGAUGAAAACAUUUAAUGUGCCAAAUUGG